UACGUAGGGUGCGAGCGUUGUCCGGAAUCAUUGGGCGUAAAGGGCGCGUAGGUGGCCCGGUCAGUCUUUGGUGAAAGCGCGGGGCUCAACCCUGCGUCGGCCAGGGAUACUGCCGCGGCUCGAGCACUGUAGAGGCAGGCGGAAUUCCGGGUGUAGCGGUGGAAUGCGUAGAGAUCCGGAAGAACACCGGUGGCGAAGGCAGGUCUCUGGGCAUUAACUGACGCUGAGGAGCGAAAGCAUGGGGAGCGAACAGG
rnacentral:rRNA from 1 species